rnacentral:tRNA from 1 species
AGGGAUGUAUCUAAGUUGGUAAAGUGCUUGGCUAGAAUCCAUGAAGUCCUGGGUUUGAGUCCCAGCACCACGU